UACGAAGGGGGCUAGCGUUGCUCGGAAUCACUGGGCGUAAAGGGUGCGUAGGCGGGUCUUUAAGUCAGAGGUGAAAUCCUGGAGCUUAACUCCAGAACUGCCUUUGAUACUGAAAGUCUUGAGUAUGGGAGAGGUGAGUGGAACUGCGAGUGUAGAGGUGAAAUUCGUAGAUAUUCGCAAGAACACCAGUGGCGAAGGCGGCUCACUGGCCCAUAACUGACGCUGAGGCACGAAAGCGUGGGGAGCAAACAGG
rnacentral:rRNA from 1 species